rnacentral:rRNA from 1 species
GAUGAACGCUGGCGGCGUGCCUAAUACAUGCAAGUCGAGCGAACAGAUAAGGAGCUUGCUCCUUUGACGUUAGCGGCGGACGGGUGAGUAACACGUGGGUAACCUACCUAUAAGACUGGAAUAACUCCGGGAAACCGGGGCUAAUGCCGGAUAACAUUUAGAACCGCAUGGUUCUAAAGUGAAAGAUGGUUUUACUGUCACUUAUAGAUGGACCCGCGCCGUAUUAGCUAGUUGGUAAGGUAACGGCUUACCAAGGCAACGAUACGUAGCCGACCUGAGAGGGUGAUCGGCCACACUGGAACUGAGACACGGUCCAGACUCCUACGGGAGGCAGCAGUAGGGAAUCUUCCGCAAUGGGCGAAAGCCUGACGGAGCAACGCCGCGUGAGUGAUGAAGGUCUUCGGAUCGUAAAACUCUGUUAUUAGGGAAGAACAAAUGUGUAAGUAACUGUGCACGUCUUGACGGUACCUAAUCAGAAAGCCACGGCUAACUACGUG